AAUGAAUGUGAGAAGAAUCCGUGUAAGAACAAUUCCACUUAUACUGGCCUGUAUAAAAGCUAUGGGAUCUGGGGUGUGCUGUGGAAUUGACAUGGAUGACAAUGAUGGUGACUGUGAAGAAGAGGCCCACAGUUUUAGAUGUGUUUGUGAUCCAGAUUUCCUGGACCUCUAUGUGAAAUUGAAAUUAAUGAGUUUUCCUCAAAACCAUGCAAAAAUGAUGGAACACAUGUGGAUCUAGAAAACAG